rnacentral:rRNA from 1 species
UACGAAGGGGGCUAGCGUUGCUCGGAAUCACUGGGCGUAAAGGGUGCGUAGGCGGGUCUUUAAGUCAGGGGUGAAUCCUGGAGCUCAACUCCAGAACUGCCUUUGAUACUGAGGAUCUUGAGUUCGGGAGAGGUGAGUGGAACUGCGAGUGUAGAGGUGAAAUUCGUAGAUAUUCGCAAGAACACCAGUGGCGAAGGCGGCUCACUGGCCCGAUACUGACGCUGAGGCACGAAAGCGUGGGGAGCAAACAGG